GAUGAAGAACGUAGCGAAAUGCGAUAAGUAGUGUGAAUUGCAGAAUUCAGUGAAUCAUCGAAUCUUUGAACGCACAUUGCGCCCCUUGGUAUCCCGAGGGGCAUGCCUGUUCGAGCGUCAUUUCACCACUCAAGCCUGGCUUGGUGUUGGGCGACGUCCCCUUUGGGGACGCGCCUCGAAACGCUCGGCGGCGUGGCACCGGCUUUAAGCGUAGCAGAAUCUUUCGCUUUGGAAGUCGGGGCCCCGUCUGCCGGAAGACCUACUCGCAAGGUUGACCUCGGAUCAGGCAGGGAUACCCGCUGAACUUAAGCAUAUCAUAAGCGGAGGA
rnacentral:misc_RNA from 1 species